rnacentral:rRNA from 1 species
UACGUAGGGGGCAAGCGUUGUCCGGAUUUAUUGGGCGUAAAGAGCGUGUAGGCGGCCAGACAGGUCUGGUGUGAAAACUCGAGGCUCAACCUCGAGAUGUCAUCGGAAACCAUCUGGCUAGAGUCCGGAAGAGGAGAGUGGAAUUCCUGGUGUAGCGGUGAAAUGCGCAGAUAUCAGGAAGAACACCUAUGGCGAAGGCAGCUCUCUGGGACGGUACCGACGCUGAGACGCGAAAGCGUGGGGAGCGAACAGG